rnacentral:rRNA from 1 species
GACGAACGCUGGCGGCGUGCUUAACACAUGCAAGUCGAACGGAAAGGCUCCAGCUUGCUGGAGUACUCGAGUGGCGAACGGGUGAGUAACACGUGGGUGAUCUGCCCUGCACUUCGGGAUAAGCCUGGGAAACUGGGUCUAAUACCGGAUAGGACCGCACUUUGGUGUGUGUGGUGGAAAGGUUUUUCUGGUGUGGGAUGAGCUCGCGGCCUAUCAGUUUGUUGGUGGGGUAAUGGCCUACCAAGACGGCGACGGGUAGCCGGCCUGAGAGGGUGGACGGUCACAUUGGGACUGAGAUACGGCCCAGACUCCUACGGGAGGCAGAAGGGGGGAAGAUUGCACAAUGGGGGAAACCCUGAUGCAGCGACGCCGCGUGGGGGAUGAAGGCCUUCGGGUUGUAAACUCCUUUCGCUAGGGACGAAGCUUUUUGUGACGGUACCUGGAGAAGAAGCACCGGCUAACUACGUG